AGUGAACGCUGGCGGCAGGCCUAACACAUGCAAGUCGAGCGGCAGCGCGGGGGCAACCCUGGCGGCGAGCGGCGGACGGGUGAGGAAUUCGUCGGAAUCUGCCUUUUUGUGGGGGAUAACGUAGGGAAACUUACGCUAAUACCGCAUACGUCCUACGGGAGAAAGUGGGGGACCGCAAGGCCUCACGCAGAAAGAUGUGCCGACGACCGAUUAGCUAGUUGGUGGGGUAAAGGCCCACCAAGGCGACGAUCGGUAGCUGGUCUGAGAGGAUGAUCAGCCACACUGGGACGGAGACACGGCCCAGACUCCUACGGGAGGCAGCAGUGGGGAAUAUUGGACAAGGGGCGCAAGCCUGAUCCAGCAAUGCCGCGUGUGUGAAGAAGGCCUUCGGGUUGUAAAGCACUUUUGUCCGGAAAGAAAUCCCUGGAGCUAAUACCUUCGGGGGAUGACGGUACCGGAAGAAUAAGCACCGGCUAACUUCGUG
rnacentral:rRNA from 1 species